rfam:Ornithorhynchus anatinus chromosome 2, whole genome shotgun sequence.
UCCCUCUAAGGGUUGCAUCUGGAGAGUUUCCAGUACCUUACCAGUCUCAGCUACGGGAGGGAUAGUCAAGCAGAUUUCCAUUCCGUUCCUAGCUUGGGCAUUGGCUAGUGAGAGGAAGGCAAUCUGCUACAAGU